rnacentral:rRNA from 1 species
GAUCAUGGCUCAGGAUGAACGCUAGCUACAGGCUUAACACAUGCAAGUCGAGGGGAAACGACAUCGAAAGCUUGCUUCCGAUGGGCGUCGACCGGCGCACGGGUGAGUAACGCGUAUCCAACAUGCCCACCACUUGGGGAUAACCUUGCGAAAGUAAGACUAAUACCAAAUGAUAUCUCUAGAAGACAUCUGAAAGAGAUUAAAGAUUUAUCGGUGAUGGAUGGGGAUGCGU